CGGCCGCGGUAUUUUGACCGUGCAAAGGUAGCGCAAUCACUUGUCUUUUAAAUAGAGACCUGUAUGAAUGGCUAAACGAGGGCUUAACUGUCUCCCCUUUCCAGUCAGUGAAAUUGAUCUAUCCGUGCAGAAGCGGGUAUAAUAAUACAAGACGAGAAGACCCUUUGGAGCUUAAGGUACAAAACUCAACCACGUAAAGCAAAUCAAUAAAAAGCAAAAACUUCGUGGAAAAUGAAAUUUUACCUUCGGUUGGGGCGACCACGGAGGAAAAAAAAGCCUCCAAGUGGACUGGGACCAAACCCCUAAAACUAAGAGAGACAUCUCUAAGCCACAGAACAUCUGACCAAACAUGAUCCGGCCAACAAGGCCGAUCAACGAACCAAGUUACCCUAGGGAUAACAGCGCAAUCCUCUCCCAGAGUCCAUAUCGACGAGAGGGUUUACGACCUCGAUGUUGGAUCAGGACAUCCUAAUGGUGCAGCCGCUAUUAAGGGUU
rnacentral:rRNA from 1 species